CAGCGAGCGGUUCCCGACAGCCCCAACGCCGGUAAUGGGCCGGUUUGGAGCGGACGGGGAUGGGCAAAAAAGUUGGUGUUUGGAGACUGCCGGGACCGAGCCCCUCCCGCCGCAACCCCCGAGGUGCUGGACCUGCAGCGGGCACUCGCCGGGGUGCGGAGCGGGCAGCGGGGAUCGUGCAGGUGCUGGCGGGGCUGGGAGCCGGGAGCCGGCGAGCGGAUCCACGAGUUCGGUGUGCACAAAGAAAUGAGCUUUCCAGCUCGAAGAUUGUACGAACAGCUGUUCCUGUAACUCACAGAGGAUGAAGGGGACGAGAAUUAAACUUUCGCCUCUGGAGCGGUCUCUGCGGGGGGAAGCCGCCCUGCCCUGUCGGCAUCAGGGGCGGCUGCCGGGCGCUCCGUCCAGGUGCCAGGCGGGUGCUCCGCUGCAGCUCUGUGCCUCCCUUCGUGUUGCUGGGCCGGGUUGGAUGCCGGCAGGACGCUCCCGGCCCCCCACCCCUCGCCGAACCUCGGCCACUUGAGUUUUUUCCACUCGGCUGCCCCAGAGGGAGGGGGAUGGGGGAUGGCGCUUUGUAAAAACCGUUUUCAUGGUAACGGCGAAGUUCUCUCCGUGUGAAAGAAAACUUGGGAAGGCUGGGGUGACCGGAGAGGAGCUCCCUGCAGCUGUCAAUCACGGGCUUCCCUUUCCGUCCCUUCCCUCCCCUCCCCUUUCCUUUCCUUCCCUUCCUCCCUCGGAGGCGCGGACGCCCGCACCUACACGGCCGGUGCCGGGAACUCCGAAAGGCACGCAGCCUGUUUAUGCUUUUCCUCCUUCCUCAUCCUCCCGCCGUGUUCCGCUCCAGCUCCGCACGGGUAGAGGCACGGCAGCGUCCUUUGCCGGCGGAGAUCCCAUCACCGCCGGUGCUUUCCGAUCAAACUGUCCCGGGGGUGCGGGACUGGGCAGGGGGCGCGGAACAGAUGUGCCUGGGCGCCCCGUCCCGUCCAGGGGGGCCGGCGAGGAGGGAAGCUGCAGUUUGGCAGCCCUCGCAGACACAUCGUUUAGCAUCUCACGGUCCAUGUUAUUAAAAGCCAGGCAAUGUUUCUUUUGAAACAUCACUCAUCUCCUCACUGAUGAAUAAGAAGUGUAAGUAUAGGUCGGUAUUUCCAGAUUUCACGGGUGCACAAAGUGCUCUCACAGCUCUGUGGUUUUGAUGAGACAUGCUUAAAAAUGCGGCCGCUUUCUAUUUGCAGAAUGAACAGUGAGCAAUACACCCAGCUCGGAACCUCUACCUCUUGGUAAUGGUUCUGCCACAAUUUGAACUCUCGAAGGAGAGGCAGGAGGCCACCUUCAGCGCUGUGCUGUCCCGCAGAGCUGGGGAGGUUGCGCAGGUCCCGGCAGAGAGAAGUGAGGUUCAGCUGUGGUUCCGCUGCCGGCAUCCCUCUGCUAAUACAAGGGAUGCUCUCCUAGGUUGGAAGCUACAGAUUGCUGCUGAGGCACAAUAGGGAAGGAAGGGGAAGCGAGGCAAGUGCCGCUAUACGAGAUGUUAUUUCCAAAAACGUCUUGCCGAGCGCUUUCAAAGGUCCGAUCCCAGUCCCAGCCAGGUCCCUGAUCCUUUCCGUGAGUAGAGUUGCUGCCAAGCAGGGAAGGGGCAGAAGCAGGAGAGCUGGCAGAGAGCGCCCAGUGCGGGGCUGGGGAGCACCACGGCUGGAUGGAGCCAUUUUCCUAAAUUCCCUCCUCGGCUGUGGCUGGGAUGAGGAGAAGCCAUCUGGGGCUGAGAGCCCCAGUGCUCAGUCGGAGCCAGAGGCACUCAUGUACAGAAGUACUGUUGUCAAACUCAGAAAAGCUCUCAGUUCUGUUUUGGUUUUUAAUAUUUUUUUUUCUUUUUUUUUCUUUUUGGUGACAACGGAGCAUGAGGCAAAAGCAAGAAUUUACAGUGCGCUGAGAGCUGAACCUGAGAGAAAGUCCAUGGCUGACAAGGGAAGAUCUGCUUUGUAUGUGAUCAGCACUUAAUAAGCAAUAGCCAUUAAUAUCUUUUAAUUGCAACUCUUUAGAACUUGGGGAAGGAGUUCUUGGAAGGGAAGGUUGCCGGCUUUUA
rnacentral:lncRNA from 1 species